UACGUAGGGGCCGAGCGUUGUCCGGAUUCAUUGGGCGUAAAGCGCGUGUAGGCGGUCCGGUAAGUCCGCUGUGAAAGUCGGGGGCUCAACCCUCGGAUGCCGGUGGAUACUGUCGGGCUUGAGUACGGAAGAGGCGAGUGGAAUUCCUGGUGUAGCGGUGAAAUGCGCAGAUAUCAGGAGGAACACCAAUUGCGAAGGCAGCUCGCUGGGACGUUACUGACGCUGAGACGCGAAAGCGUGGGGAGCAAACAGG
rnacentral:rRNA from 1 species